rnacentral:rRNA from 1 species
CCUACGGGAGGCUGCAGUAGGGAAUAUUGCUCAAUGGGGGAAACCCUGAAGCAGCAACGCCGCGUGAACGAGGAAGGUCUUCGGAUCGUAAAGCUCUGUUGAAGGGGAAAAAGAGCGGAGAGAGUAACUGCUUUCUUAUUGAUAUUACCCUUCGAGGAAGUCACGGCUAACUACGUGCCAGCAGCCGCGGUAAUACGUAGGUGGCGAGCGUUAUCCGGAAUGAUUGGGCGUAAAGGGUGCGCAGGCGGUCUGUUAAGUCUGGUGUGAAAGGUAGCGGCUCAACCGGGAAAUGGCACUGGAAACUGGCGGGCUAGAGAACAGGAGAGGGCGGUGGAACUCGAGGUGUAGCGGUAAAAUGCGUAGAUAUAAGGAAGAACUCCGAUGGCGAAGGCAGCCGCCUGGACUGUUACUGACACUGAGGCACGAAAGUGUGGGGAGCAAAUAGGAUUAGAUACCCGAGUAGUC